UACAGAGGUCUCGAGCGUUGUUCGGAUUUAUUGGGCGUAAAGGGUGCGUAGGCGGUAUGGCAAGUCAAGUGUGAAAUCUCGGAGCUCAACUUCGAAACUGCACUUGAUACUACUAUGCUAGAGGGUUGUAGAGGAGACCGGAAUUCACGGUGUAGCAGUGAAAUGCGUAGAUAUCGUGAGGAAACCAGUUGCGAAAGCGGGUCUCUGGGCAAUUCCUGACGCUGAGGCACGAAGGCUAGGGGAGCAAACGGG
rnacentral:rRNA from 1 species